AGCCCGUCGGGUGUGGCUUCCUGUCACGGCACAGAAAAAGACCCUUGUCUGCACGCGCCACUGCUCUGCCUCCAGGGCACUCGCUCGCGCUCUGACCACGCAUCUGAAUCCCACACGGGGGCUGGGGCGGAAGGAGGAUGUCUAGGACACGUCAGAACGUGGUACCUGGGAUCUUGUUAGGUAGGAACCGGGGUUUGGUCUCCUCGGCCAGGCUUCAUCCUUCCUCGGCCCUGGGCUCCGUGGAUCCUUGGGUGCUGUUCAGAUGCCAUUGGCAGCAGGUGCAGAAGCACCUCUGUUCUCUCUGUGGAGCUGUCCAGUCAGUCAAGACCCUCUGUUUCCGUUGGCCAAGCUGCCUCCUUUAGAAGCUGCUCCAAGAGGAAGCAAGAUCUUUAUAAGAACAGCAUGGUCAGAAGCCAACACCAUCGGACAACUUACAAGGGGUCUCCCAAGAUCCCUCCAACUUUUGCUCAGACUUGGGCCCACGGGAGGGGAGACGUCUUGGAUUGGCUGUGCACCUGCCGGUCAGCCCACCGGAUGGGAACGUGGCCAGGGCGGGGGGCGGGGAGGAAUUGCACCCUUGGCUAUAACUCAACAGGAAUGUUCCAUCCAGAAAUUUUGUAGGUUUUUUGUUCUCAGGAAACCUGAGAAGUCAUCUCACUUUGUGUAUCUUGGUAAAGGAACCAAGUUUAAUGUUAAGCCGUGUGUGUAUGUGCUCAUCGUUCCGGGGUGACAUUUCUCUGCAGCAGGUGGAUUUCCCUGGGGGUGGUUGCAGUAGAGACCGCCCCCUGGUAUCAGCAGUCCCGUCACUGUAGACACAAACAGGACAUCUACUUCAGAUUUCUCCCUGGGUUAUGCUCAUCCCCACUCAAAGCAAUAUCUGAAUGACACCUUUCUCCAAACUCCACACCACAGACACACACCCACCUGCACACACGCACACACAUGCAUACCACACGCACACACCUGAUUUUUCUGAUCACUCAUUUACUUUUUGGUGGGUUUCAUUGUCUAAACGCUCCCAAUUAUUCCCUACACGUAAUAAAGCUCCAAUCCACUCCUUUAGCCCCCAACUGUGAAGGAAAGAAAGUGAAACAAAACUUUUGAUUUGGCCGUGUUCCCCUCCUAAUUUCAUUAUGCAUAUUAAAUUUUUACUGUCGACAA